UCAAUGUACGUGAAACAGGCUGUCGUAUCGGUCGUCAGCGUUGUAAUCCGACGUGGCCGUGGAAAAAAUCGGUAGUGAUACUCGUAAACACUAUGUAGAACCAGCUGUUGCCCGUUGGCACUCGAUCUGUGGCUUCGUCGAUGUGCGGAGGCUGUAUUUUCGACCUCUACCACCGAUAAAGGCACACGCCAACACAGAAGCCGCGGGAUAGAAGAGUGGUCCACUUGAGUCUUCUAGUCGUAUCCAUUUGGCACUCAUGAGUAAUGUGGGUAACGUUUUCAUCAGUGUGUACCUAUACACAAAACAGUGUGCCCCUCAGCUAGCUUGGGUUAGCCAAUGUGUUUCUUAGCUAGCUUGUGUUUGCAGGGGUCUGUGGCACUCAUGUGGCAUUGGACGCCAUCGCUCUUGUACGUCUUCCUAUACAGUACUCUUACGCAACAGUGUUCUUUGCGAUUGUCGCUGCAGCUGAAUAAUGGUGAAGCCGUCCAAUUCUCAGGCUUGUAUGCAGCCAGGACGCUGAUGCAGGUUGAAGCUGCUUUCAGGAGGUAAGAUUUGCGUUUUACUGACGGUAGAAGGAAGCGACAAAAUAGGCAGAUCAAUCACGCAGUAACGACGUGCCAAGGACUAUUCAUUCAAGUUCUCGAACUUUCUGAAGAAAGAAGCGUUAUCAGCUACUGAAUGGCAGAGCAAACUACCCUUGAUUUGAGACGCGCAAAUUCACGUACCGAGAGGGCCCGCACGUGGGCAGUCCCUUCAGAACUGUAGUUUCAUCCGCUGCCCUGGUUUUUCAAGGUAGAAGUGUUUUGACAGAAACGUAGCGACAAUUGUGCGCCUCAGUGGAGAGAACAGGUACCGUGGAACUACCAUAACAGUGUCUGCAUCCUUCAUAACAUUCACUUUUCGUCCUAUUGCGUAGGGAGUGUUGAUCAGAGGUCCUGUCGUACCAAUGAUCUGCCUGGGAUCGCUGGACUGGAAUAUUGCACUACGCGAACAGGCCAGAGUCGACCGCGCUCAUGACUCUUGUUAACAUGCUGAUAACUCAAGACGUAUGGUGCAGGGACAAGAAAGCCAGUGCAAACUAAGGUGUUUCCUCGGAGGACACGCGUAUUGGUCUCAGGAAAGUAUGCGGGGUCGUAGCUUCCCGACAAGAAAUGUCGCCGUACACUGAAUACAAUGCCACGUAUUGUCCUGUAACGUCGUUUGAGAUACUACACCGAACUUCCCACGUGACAUCGGGAUAUAUAGUCGUGCGUGUCCAAAGAACCGGAGUAGAGGCUGAUAAACGCAUUAUCUCCGGAGUCCACUCUCCGCCAGAAUGACUCCCUGUGC
rnacentral:lncRNA from 1 species